rnacentral:rRNA from 1 species
GACGAACGCUGGCGGCGUGCUUAACACAUGCAAGUCGAACGGAAAGGCCCUGCUUUUGUGGGGUGCUCGAGUGGCGAACGGGUGAGUAACACGUGAGUAACCUGCCCUUGACUUUGGGAUAACUUCAGGAAACUGGGGCUAAUACCGGAUAGGAUCUCCUGCUGCAUGGUGGGGGUUGGAAAGUUUCGGCGGUUGGGGAUGGACUCGCGGGUUAUCAGCUUGUUGGUGGGGUAGUGGCUUACCAAGGCUUUGACGGGUAGCCGGCCUGAGAGGGUGACCGGCGACAUGGGGCCUGAGAUACGGCCCAGACUCCUACGGGAGGCAGCAGUGGGGAAUAUUGCACAAUGGGCGGACGCCUGAUGCAGCAACGCCGCGUGCGGGAUGAUGGCCUUCGGGUUGUAAACCGCUUUCGCCUGUGACGAAGCGUGAGUGACGGUAAUGGGUAAAGAAGCAACGGCUAACUACGUG